AUUGUACGCUGGCGGCAGGCUUAACACAUGCAAGUCGAGCGGGGUGAUGGUGCUUGCACUAUCACUUAGCGGCGGACGGGUGAGUAAUGCUUAGGAAUCUGCCUAUUAGUGGGGGACAACAUCUCGAAAGGGAUGCUAAUACCGCAUACGUCCUACGGGAGAAAGCAGGGGGUCACUUGUGACCUUGCGCUAAUAGAUGAGCCUAAGUCGGAUUAGCUAGUUGGUGGGGUAAAGGCCUACCAAGGCGACGAUCUGUAGCAGGUCUGAGAGGAUGAUCCGCCACACUGGGACUGAGACACGGCCCAGAGUCUUACGGUAGGCAGCAGUGGGGAAUAGUGGACAAUGGGGGGAACCCUAAUCCAGCCCUGCCGCGUGUGUGAAGAAGGCCUUAUGGUUGUAAAGCACUUUAAGCGAGGAGGAGGCUCUUUUGGUUAAUACCCAAGAUGAGUGGACGUUACUCGCAGAAUAAGCACCGGCUAACUCUGUGCCAGCCGCCGCCGUAA
rnacentral:rRNA from 1 species